UAGGGAAUCUUCCGCAAUGGACGAAAGUCUGACGGAGCAACGCCGCGUGAGUGAGGAAGGUCUUCGGAUCAUAAAACUCUGUUGUCAGGGAAGAACCGCCGGGAUGACCUCCCGGUCUGACGGUACCUGACGAGAAAGCCCCGGCUAACUACGUGCCAGCAGCCGCGGUAAUACGUAGGGGGCAAGCGUUGUCCGGAAUUAUUGGGCGUAAAGCGCGCGCAGGCGGCUUCUUAAGUCAGGUGUGAAAGCCCACGGCUCAACCGUGGAGGGCCAUCUGAAACUGGGGAGCUUGAGUGCAGGAGAGGAGAGCGGAAUUCCACGUGUAGCGGUGAAAUGCGUAGAGAUGUGGAGGAACACCAGUGGCGAAGGCGGCUCUCUGGCCUGUAACUGACGCUGAGGCGCGAAAGCGUGGGGAGCAAACAG
rnacentral:rRNA from 1 species